AAAUUAGACUAAUCUUUUAUUGAACCCACUGCUUAAUAGUUGAUUAGAUUAGAAUCAUACUCUUGCUAAGGUUAAGCUUCACUAAGCAUCCAUACAACUUAGCAUAAUUAAUCUAAAAGAUUAGAAGUAGUUUAAAAGUUUUUAAAAGACCCAAUUCACCCCCCCCCCCCUCUUGGGUUGUCACCUUGGACAACACAAAUAUUUUUCCAUACAAUUAUAACUUUCAAUCUAAUCAGGACUAAAGCCCAUUUAAUUAUAACCUUAGCCGGGUCAACACAAUCUCCUUAUAUGUUUUUCUGUAGUUUUCAUGAA
rnacentral:lncRNA from 1 species